rnacentral:rRNA from 1 species
GAUGAACGCUAGCGAUAGGCUUAACACAUGCAAGUCGAGGGGCAGCGAGGGUAGCAAUACCUGUCGGCGAACGGCGCACGGGUGAGUAACGCGUAUGUAACCUGCCCGCAACAGGGGGAUAACCCGGCGAAAGUCGGACUAAUACCGCAUAAAACAGGGGUCCCGCAUGGGAAUAUUUGUUAAAGAUUUAUCGGUUGCGGAUGGGCAUGCGUACCAUUAGGUAGUUGGUGAGGUAACGGCUCACCAAGCCUUCGAUGGUUAGGGGUUCUGAGAGGAAGGUCCCCCACACUGGUACUGAGACACGGACCAGACUCCUACGGGAGGCAGCAGUGAGGAAUAUUGGUCAAUGGGCGAGAGCCUGAACCAGCCAAGUCGAGUGAAGGAUGACUGCCCUAGGGGUUGUAAACUUCUUUUACAAGGGAAUAAAAUGAGAUACGUGUAUUUUAUUGAAUGUACCUUGGGAAUAAGCAUCGGCUAACUCCGUG